GACAGAGUCCGACUCUUCCUUGACCGAUCUGCAGACAAACAGAAGUCUUGGUUUGGAGAAUCGGGAUCGAAAAGGCGUUACAUUGGAGUGAUGAUGUUGACUUUGACCCCCAGUAUAAUCGAAGAGCUAAGGAUGCGAGACCCGUCCUUCCCUGAGUUCUCAUCCACCGUGUGAUUGUAGGAUCUCCAGCCAACAGAGCCGGAAUGAAGCCAGGAGAUGUUAUUAUUGAGAUCAAUGGGGUAAAGGUGAACACGUCGGAGGAGAUAUAUAAUGCUGUGAGGACCAGCGAAAGCUUAAAUGUGUUGGUCCGCCGGGGGGCCGACCUGCUCAUGCUGCACAUGACCCCAGAGUCCACAGAGCGACAUCAAGUCAAGUAUUUAGUAAGAUUAAGAAAUGGUGAGUAAUGAGAAGCUGUCAUAGUUGGAGAUGUUGUAAGAAAGGAAUCAUCUAAAGAGUUGAACAGUUUUAGCAAACGCUGGACAUUCGUGUAGUAAACGUGUUUCUGGAAGCGUAUGAAAUAAUGUGGAUGAUUCAGACUUCUGUACACUGGAUAAACCUCAGUGUGUCUGCGCAAACUACACUAUCAGUAUUGAUUUGAAGGAAUAUCACUGAAUAUUUUGUUUAGGAUUGUCAUGAUGGCAACAAACACUCAAAGACCUUAAUAAAACUGGGUGCUCUUAUUGUGAAAAUGCUGAUGUUUUGUAUUGAGUCUCACAUUCUCAUGUUACGAUGUUUGUAUUUUAAUACAUUUUUCUGAACAGCUCUGAUUUCACAAUAAACCAUUGGAAUAUUUAUGGAUGA